AGUGAACGCUGGCGGUAGGCCUAACACAUGCAAGUCGAACGGCAGCACCGUAAGAGCUUGCUCUUACGGGUGGCGAGUGGCGGACGGGUGAGGAAUACAUCGGAAUCUACUUUUUCGUGGGGGAUAACGUAGGGAAACUUACGCUAAUACCGCAUACGACCUACGGGUGAAAGCAGGGGAUCUUCCGACCUUGCGCGAUUGAAUGAGCCGAUGUCGGAUUAGCUAGUUGGCGGGGUAAAGGCCCACCAAGGCGACGAUCCGUAGCUGGUCUGAGAGGAUGAUCAGCCACACUGGAACUGAGACACGGUCCAGACUCCUACGGGAGGCAGCAGUGGGGAAUAUUGGACAAUGGGCGCAAGCCUGAUCCAGCCAUACCGCGGGGGUGAAGAAGGCCUUCGGGUUGUAAAGCCCUUUUGUUGGGAAAGAAAAGCAGCAGGUUAAUACCCCGCUGUUCUGACGGUACCCAAAGAAUAAGCACCGGCUAACUUCGUG
rnacentral:rRNA from 1 species